GAAUCAAAAUCUCUCUAACCUUAUACACUCAACUUGAUCGUCUAACCAGAUUCUAUACCUCUAUCACAUCUCUAGACUAUUUCCAAAUAGUCAAACCAUACCUCUAUGUGAGGUUACACAACAUUCCUCAUCAAUAGAACUUAAAACUAUAAUCUAUAUUCUAAUUUCAAAUACUUAUAACCUGUUGCUCUGAUACCAACUGUGACGGUCCAGGAAUCCGGGGGUCUGGAUUCUGACGUCACCACACAAAACUCAUUUUUAAAACACUUUAAAAACCUGUAAAUUUUUUUUUUUUAAAGAUAAUAAAAAUCAGAGAAGAAUUUUAAAACUUAAAAUCAUUUAAUAAAAUUUUAAAUAUUUGAAAGAGAACAUAAAUCAAAUGAUUUCAAAACCUGAAUUUCAAACUUGAAAGCCAUAAUAGGAGAAUUUCCAGAGAACAUUUAAACCCCCUAAAAGCAACAGGAUCGCAUCCAGGUUACAGUAUUGAAAUUAGAAUCUACCACUAUUAUUACACAACAUCUCUUACCAAAUCAGAUCAUCUUCGAUAAGAAGAAUCACUGUCAACUAUUCCAGCUUGCACCAACCUCAUCAACUUUCCUGAACACUCCUCGACCACUGGAUCCUCAACUCUGUCUCCUCGCCUAGCAUUAGCCUUACUCACAAUCUCAAUCAAUCAUCUCAUCUUUAAGCCUUUCUGAAAUGGUUAAAAGGGAAUAGCAAGGGUGAGCAACAAUGCUCAGCAAGUAAUAAUAAACAAUGAUAGUUCUGAAAUGAUAUAAUAGAAGUUCACGAGUUCAAGAUAUAAGAGGAUUCAACCUGAGUUCAUGAGUUCAUGGUAUUGUAUAGAAUGAUUUACAAUACCUUGCAGCAUUUAAACUGAGAAAUUCAAUCUUUCCAAAGAAUUAUUGAAUUGGACUAUCACAUUUUAAUUAAAACCAAGGUUAGGCAGCUGAUCAGUUCCGCACUAACCCCGAGCAGGCCCCGCCAUGCUCUAUCACUGGAUCCAAGGCACUCAUUGGCCUAACAUGACCACGAAUCUGGUCCACAGGUUUAUAUAAAAACAAUAAUCCAAUUCUCUAAUUCAAUUCAAGAAGCCAAUGUAAAUUAACAGAACAUCAUCAUAAAUAUCAUCAACAACAGAAUAAUUCCAAUUCAAACUUUGAUAAUAAUCUAUUCAUAAAUCAUGAUCCAUCAUUUCAUAAAUCACAGUUCAGGAAAUCCUCAACUAUUCAGUAUCCUCCAUUAUCGGCUAAGCAACUGAAUUUAGCCUGCUAAACCAGCAUGACAAUGGCGGGUUGAAUAAUCAAGAAGAUCCCAAUUCAUUCAAAGCUCUAACUAUCACUGAGCAACACAUGCUUCAAUGACAAUCUGAACUUCGAAUUAAUUUGUAAAACGGAAAUUCUUUAGAAACUUGAAGAUUAGAAAGAAUGGGUCAGAAUACUCGCACUUUCGAACAUUGAAAAGAAAGGUAUGAAUACUUGAAACAUAUACCAAAGGAAUGGAUCAGAAUAUUUGCAAUAUAUCCAAGAGAAAGGUUUAGGAUACUUGCCUUAAAUCUGACUCCAGUCUCAUAUCUCUAUCUCAUCUUUCCACUUUCACAAUCUAUCCAUAUCAUAAUUUCUAGACCAUCUCUAGCCGUACUCUAUUCGCCACAUCGCUUCGCUUACUCAAUCAUCCCUUAUUCGCUUUGCAAUACCAUUCCGACUUUCUGACGUCUUCGAGCAUACACGUCUCGUCCAAAUCCUUUACGAGAAUAAGAUAAUGCUAUAGUCACUAAACAAUAUAUCGCAUAUACAUAUCACGUAUAUCGAUACCCACUUAUAUACCCCUUUAAACCUAUCACAUACCACGUAACACAUAAGCAUGCUUUGACUCUAACAUAUAAUCAAUCAUAUUUCACAUAACAUAUCACCAAUCAAUUAUCAUAUAAAUCCUUAUCGAAAAUCCGACAUCGUAUCGUCUAUAUAUAAGACUAUCCACCUAUUAUCUUAUCCCAAUCGUUAAUCAACCAACAAAAUCCAAUAGCUAUAAUCCAUAUAUUCUUAUCCAAUAUCAAUCAUACGAAUCAUUUAUCACUUCACAAUAUCAAAACUAACACGUACUUCACAUAAUCAUCACCUGAUAACACUUAGAUCACAUAUUAUCACAUUAUGCAUACUUAUCAACAAUUAUUCACCUUAUAGACUCAGCCAUAUAAUCACAUCAUAUUAAAAUAGAUGUUAUAAGCUUCUGUCUCUCUUUCGUUUCACUUGAUUCCGACUUACGGAUCCAAAGAUAUGGUCAAAACCGUUUUCUAACUCCUCUAUCGGCACAUAACACAUCAAACAGAUAGCAGACAACACAUUACACAUAAGGUUUCCCACCCCGAUUGAUAUCAAAUCAACUCUUGGGUUAAAAAUGAUUUUUCGGGAAUUUUCUGGAAUUUUUAAACAUUUUUCGGAAUUAAAAUCGAUAAAAGAAUCACUUUUCGGAUAAAUAAUCAAGUCCCAAAUACUUGAAAUUGGACUUGAAAUCAUUCAUAAACAAUAAUAGAGCCUUGAAAAUAAUUUAGAAAAAUAUUUCAAAGCUCGAAACUAUUUUUCGGAAUUUUUAAAUCAAAAAGGAUAAUUAAAUCCAAUUAAUUAAUCAAUUAAAAUCAAUUAAUAAUUAAUUAAAAUAAUUAAUCAAUUAAUAUUUAAAUUAAUUGACUAAUUACAAUAAUUAAUUACUAAUUAAAAUCAAUUAACAAACUAAUUUAGAUUUAUUUUUGAAUAAAGAAAUAAUUAAAAACUAUUUUUGGAAUUUAAAAUAAUUAAAUAAAACAAUUUUAGAAAAUUAAAUCAAAAGGUUUAUUUUGUAAACUUUUGAAACUUUUGUCGCAAGGUUUAAAGUGUAACUUUCAAAAGUUACAGGGGGUAAUUUGUAAGAUUCAAAACCCGGGUACAAUAACUUCAACACCUUCAAAAGUAGGGGGGCCAAACUGCACUUUUGCAGCGGCCACCCCCCUUUCGCCGCUGUUACGCCGGAGUCGGCGUUCCGUCGCUCAGAAUCUUGCACAAAAGUGCAGAUUUGAAGCUUACAUCCCCACAAACUCAAUGGUGUGCUUAGUGUGUGCAAAGGAAUGGCCAAUCGGCCGGAAAAUGGAAGAGAAAGCGGCGGCACCGCUUCUUUUUCCGGAACCCGGCGAGUUUAUCUCGCCUCCUUCAAACAAACCGAGCCCACCAGCAUAUUCCCCUCAUCCUCCUCUCUCUAUCCAUAUAUACCACCUCUGCCCAGACUUAACGAAUCAAAAAUCCGGUCAAAAACUCAAAUAUUCCGGCGAAGAACUCAAGAACACCAAGAACACUCAAUAUUCAAAAUCAAACCACUGUUUCUAUAUGAUUCCGAACCCCAAAUUCAACAUAUAAUAUACCAAAACGACGAGAAAAACACGCUCUACAACAUGGCAUCAUCAAAUCAAUCAAACAACAUCGUUUGCAGAAACUCAAAAUUAAAAUCAUAUAAAUUCGAAUUUUCAAAAAUUAAUAAGAAAUUACCCGUGAAAUCUGCACGGUUAUGAUUGAUUAAACUGGAUUCUACGCGUCGAUAGCUUCGUUUUGACUAUUCGUACACCUCCAUCGGAUUCCAAUAACACCUCCUAAUCCUCGUUUGAUUAUGAAGAACACGAAGAACACUGCUCGGUUUCUCUCGGUAUUUGUGAAAGGAAACUGGUGAAAUGAUUUUACGGGUGAAAAUCAGCUAUAGGAAAGUCUAUUUAUAUUUACAAAUAAUUGGUACCCCUUUGGAUCGUUUAUGACAUGAAAAUACGUAUUUAAUAGCUUUAUAUUAAUAAAGCGGGGUCCAAUCGGUACUGGUUUUCGAGAUAAUCAUCAAAACGGGACUUUUUAAUCAGUCAUUAGUAUGCGGGUCCCAUUGCAAUUAUUACAAGAUAAGAAUUAAUAUAAUAAUCAAAAUAUCUAGUUUCACGCUUAUCGAGACAAACUGGAUAAUUAUCAACAAUUCAAAUACCCGCAAAACUCCGCCGGACCGACUCCGGGAAAAACCGUACUCCGGAUCGAAAAAGUCAAAACACGAAAAAUGUCCGGAAUAUUCAAAUUAGGCUAAAGGUGAGUUUUCUCGAAACUUCCGGGAAGUAAAAUCGCUAUACCGUUACGAGUGGACGGUUUUACGUAAAUCAAAUAAUUAAUAAAUAAAUAUAAAUAUACGCAAUUUAAUCGGUAAAUUGAUUAUAAAAUCACAUAGCAAUCCACAAAUCGAUAUGAAAAUAUCCAAAUAAACUAUAUUUUCUCCUGAGCAUAUACAAAUUGAAAUCUCGCGAAUACGAACACAUACGAGCAUUCAGCUCAAUAAACUAGAUAACACAAAAUUCACAAAAUUAUAUAAUAAUCACAUAAUAAUCAUAAAUCACCAUAAAUAAUUAAACGAGCAAUACCACAAGUAACACUUAGUCACAUACCAUAUGUAUUCACAUAAUAUUCAUCUAGAAUUUUCAAAAACAAUAUAUGAAAAUCAGUUUUGAAAAUACAAUUAUUUAUCCAUAACACAAUAACCCGGGGUUUAAAUAUAAAACUUUGAAAACUCAUUAAACUGGAAUAAAAUAUUAAAUCUUAUUCCCUUCUUUGAAGAAAAUCACUUUUAAUACUAAUAAAAAUAUUUUUAAAAAUCCGGGUCAUUACAAUCUACCCUCCUUAUAGGGAUUCCGUCCUCGGAAUCAGAGAAAGAAGGAGGACGCAUAAUCUGUAAAAUCCAUAUUAAUCCACAGAACAAGUAUAAUCACAUAAAACUAUUCACAUAAUCAAUUCGCUUUUCAACUAAAGCCAACAAUAAUAUUUAGACAAAUAGAUUUAUAAUAAUCACAUCUAAAUUUAAUAAUAUGGGAUAUUACAUUCUACCCCCCUUAUAAGGAUUCCGUCCUCGGAAUCCCCCGAAGAAAACUAAAACGUACACACUUCGUAAUAUCAUAUCGUCAUCCGC
rnacentral:lncRNA from 1 species